rnacentral:rRNA from 1 species
CCCUUAGAUGUUCUGGACCGCACGCGCGCUACACUGAUGCAUUCAACAAGCCUAGCCUUGACCGAGAGGUCCGGGUAAUCUUUGAAACUGCAUCGUGAUGGGGCUAGAUUAUUGCAAUUAUUAAUCUUCAACGAGGAAUUCCUAGUAAACGCAAGUCAUCAACUUGCAUUGAUUACGUCCCUGCCCUUUGUACACACCGCCCGUCGCACCUACCGAUUGAAUGGUCCGGUGAAGCCUCCGGAUUGGCGCGCACCUCGGUGCCGCCGAGAAGUUGGCUAAACCUUACCAUUUAGAGGAAGGUGAAGUCGUAACA